rnacentral:tRNA from 1 species
GCCUUCGUGGCUCAGCUGGUUAGAGCGCCGGUCUCAUAUGUAAGUAUAAAAAUAUGACCAUUUGAUGAGAAUGGGCCAUCCGGAGAUCGCCAGUUCGAUCCUGGCCGAGGGCA